GACGAACGCUGGCGGCGUGCUUAACACAUGCAAGUCGAGCGGAAAGGCCCUUCGUGGUACUCGAGCGGCGAACGGGUGAGUAACACGUGAGUAACCUGCCCCAGACUUUGGGAUAACCCUCGGAAACGGGGGCUAAUACCGGAUACGACACAGCUUCGCAUGGGGUCUGUGUGGAAAGUUUUUCGGGUUGGGAUGGGCUCGCGGCCUAGCAGCUUGUUGGUGGGGUGAUGGCCUACCAAGGCGACGACGGGUAGCACGCCUGGGAGGGAGACCGGCCACACUGGGACUGAGACACGGACCAGACGGCAACGGGGGGCAGCAGGGGGGAAUAUUGCACAAUGGGCGGAAGCGUGAUGCAGCGACGCCGCGUGUGGGAUGACGGCCUUCGGGUUGUAAACCUCUUUAAGCAGGGACGAAGCGUAAGUGACGGUACCUGCAGAAGAAGCGCCGGCCAACUACGUG
rnacentral:rRNA from 1 species